GACGAACGCUGGCGGCGUGCCUAAUACAUGCAAGUCGAACGCAGUGGGGACGGGUGAGUAACACGUGGGUAACCUCCCAUCAGAGGGGAUAACAGUUGGAAACAGGUGCUAAACCGCUACUGAUGGAUGGACCCGGGGGGCAUUAGCGAGUCGGUGGGGUAACGGCUCACCAAGGCCACGAUGCAUAGCGGACCUGGGAGGGUGACCGGCCACACUGGGACUGAGACACGGGCCAGACUCCUACGGGAGGCAGCAGUAGGGAAGCUUCGGCAAUGGACGAAAGUCUGACCGAGCAACGCCGCGUGAGUGAAGAAGGUUUUCGGAUCGUAAAACUCUGUUGUUAGAGAAGCGGUAUCUAACCAGAAAGCAACGGCUAACUACGUGCCAGCAGCCGCGGUAAUAC
rnacentral:rRNA from 1 species